rnacentral:rRNA from 1 species
UGGGGAAUAUUGCACAAUGGGCGCAAGCCUGAUGCAGCCAUGCCGCGUGUGUGAAGAAGGCCUUCGGGUUGUAAAGCACUUUCAGCGAGGAGGAAGGUGGUGAGCUUAAUACGCUCAUCAAUUGACGUUACUCGCAGAAGAAGCACCGGCUAACUCCGUGCCAGCAGCCGCGGUAAUACGGAGGGUGCAAGCGUUAAUCGGAAUUACUGGGCGUAAAGCGCACGCAGGCGGUUUGUUAAGUCAGAUGUGAAAUCCCCGGGCUCAACCUGGGAACUGCAUUUGAAACUGGCAAGCUAGAGUCUCGUAGAGGGGGGUAGAAUUCCAGGUGUAGCGGUGAAAUGCGUAGAGAUCUGGAGGAAUACCGGUGGCGAAGGCGGCCCCCUGGACGAAGACUGACGCUCAGGUGCGAAAAGCGUGGGGCAGCAAACAGGAUUAGAUACCCUGGUAGUCCACGCUGUAAACGAUGUCGAUUUUGGAGGUUGUGCCCUUGAGGCGUGGCUUCCGGAGCUAACGCGUUAAAUCGACCGCCUGGGGAGUACGGCCGCAAGGUUAAAAC